GCAAUGUGAGAAAUCGCGACGGGGGGAUCCCAAGUGCCAUUCUUAACGGGAUGGCUUUUCAUUAGUGUAAAGAGCUUUUGGAAUAAGAGCUGGGCAAGACCGGUGCCAGCCGCCGCGGUAACACCGGCAGCUCUAGUGGUAACAAUUUUUAUUGGGCCUAAAGCGUCCGUAGCCGGUUUAAUAAGUCUCUGGUGAAAUCCUGUAGCUUAACUGUGGGAAUUGCUGGAGAUACUAUUAGACUUGAGACCGGGAGAGGUUAGAGGUACUCCCAGGGUAGAGGUGAAAUUCUGUAAUCCUGGGAGGACCGCCUGUUGCGAAGGCGUCUAACUGGAACGGUUCUGACGGUGAGGGACGAAAGUUAGGGGCGCGAACCGGAUUAGAUACCCGGGUAGUCCUAACUGUAAACGAUGCGGACUUGGUGUUGGGGUGGCUUUGAGCUGCUCCAGUGCCGAAGGGAAGCUGUUAAGUCCGCCGCCUGGGAAGUACGGUCGCAAGACUGAAACUUAA
rnacentral:rRNA from 1 species